GCGCCCGUAGCUCAAUUGGAUAGAGCGCCAGACUACGGAUCUGGAGGUUAUGGGUUCGACUCCUAUCGGGCGCGCCA
rnacentral:tRNA from 1 species